AUGAAAAGAGACGACGCACUCGCUCGCGUGGCAACCGGAGCCGUCGUUGGCGGCGCUAUCGGCGGCGCUGUCGGUGCUGUAUAUGGAACUUACGAUGCAAUUAGGUGUAAGGUUCCUGGAUUCCUCAAGAUCAGGCAUAUUGGGCAAACUACUAUAGGAAGUGCAGCUAUAUUUAGCUUGUUUCUUGCAGCAGGAACCUUGAUUCGUUCUCACUAG